UAAUAGCGUAUAUUAAAAGUUGUUGCGGUUAAAAAGCUCGUAGUUGGAUUUCUGCGCGGGAAGACCGGUCCGCCUUCUGGGCGAGUAUCUGGCUCGGCCUGGGCAUCUUCUUGGAGAACGUAGCUGCACUUGACUGUGUGGUGCGGUAUCCAGGACUUUACUUGAGGAAAUUAGAGUGUUUCAAGCAGGCAUUUGCCUUGAAUACAUUAGCAUGGAAUAAUAAGAUAGGACCUUGGUUCUAUUUUGUGGUUUCUAGAGCUUGGAUGGUAAUGAUUAAUAGGGAUAGGUUGGGGGCAUUCGUAUUUAACUGUCAGAGGUGAAAUUCUUGGAUU
rnacentral:rRNA from 1 species